rnacentral:SRP_RNA from 1 species
GCGGUGGCGCGUGCCUGUAGUCCCAGCUACUCGGGAGGCUGAGGUGGGAGGAUCGCUUGAGCCCAGGAGUUCUGGGCUGUAGUGCGCUAUGCCGAUCGGGUGUCCGCACUAAGUUCGGCAUCAAUAUGGUGACCUCCCGGGAGCGGGGGACCACCAGGUUGCCUAAGGAGGGGUGAACCGGCCCAGGUCGGAAACGGAGCAGGUCAAAACUCCCGUGCUGAUCAGUAGUGGGAUCGCGCCUGUGAAUAGCCACUGCACUCCAGCCUGAGCAACAUAGCGAGACCCCGUUGCCUAAGGAGGGGUGAACCGGCCCAGGUCGGAAACGGAGCAGGUCAAAACUCCCGUGCUGAUCAGUAGUGGGAUUGCGCCUGUGAAUAGCCACUGCACUCCAGCCUGGGCAACAUAG